rnacentral:lncRNA from 1 species
UGGAGCCAUGCUAGCACCAUCCAACACAGCCUAAAAACCUUGUGCUCUCAAACCUCUUCUUGCAUUUUCUAAACUCAGUCCAAAAACUCCAAAUGCCCUGACCUUGUUUUGGCUAAUUCAUCUAUCAAACAACAUCUUGAGUCCAUGCCAACCACUUUCCUCCAUCUACAAGUUCAUUUGCCAGCACUGUUCUAAAAGAAGCAUACAACCAUGGCAGAUGGAAUUUCAAUCAAAACCAAGCAUCCACAAGCCAAGGCAUCUUCAUCAUACAUCAAGGCAUAGCUGUGCUUCAACUGUUACACUUC